rnacentral:pre_miRNA from 1 species
UCAUGUUUGUGUGUGGAUAGUGUUCAGUACCAAGGACAGGUCAUGUUUGUGUGUGGAUAGUGUUCAGUACCAAGGACAGGCCAUGUUUGUGU